rnacentral:rRNA from 1 species
UACGUAGGGGGGCAAGCGUUGUCCGGAAUCAUUGGGCGUAAAGGGCGCGUAGGCGGCCGCCUAAGUCAGACGUGAAAUCCCUCGGCUCAACCGGGGAACUGCGUCUGAUACUGGAAGGCUUGAAUCCGGGAGAGGGAUGCGGAAUUCCAGGUGUAGCGGUGAAAUGCGUAGAUAUCUGGAGGAACACCGGUGGCGAAGGCGGCGUUCUGGACUGCAACUGACACUGAGGAACGAAAGCCAGGGGAGCAAACGGG